rnacentral:rRNA from 1 species
UACAGAGGGGGCUAGCGUUGCUCGGAAUCACUGGGCGUAAAGGGCGCGUAGGCGGACUUUUAAGUCGGGGGUGAAAGCCCAGGGCUCAACCCUGGAAUUGCCUUCGAUACUGGGAGUCUUGAGUUCGGAAGAGGUUGGUGGAACUGCGAGUGUAGAGGUGAAAUUCGUAGAUAUUCGCAAGAACACCAGUGGCGAAGGCGGCCAACUGGUCCGAAACUGACGCUGAGGCGCGAAAGCGUGGGGAGCAAACAGG